AACUCGCACUAAAUUCAAUCGUUUCAGGUCUUUAUCAAUUACUUUUUUGGAUGUCCUCUAAGCAGUAGAGCAGGCCUGAAGGCAUUUCUAGUUUAUCUCCACUUAAUUUAUUCUGGUCUCCUCAUCAAACGUCCAAGCCACUAAAUACCCUGUUCUUUCAUAAAAUUCGUUAUCUUUGAAAAGCUUGUCAUCUACCGGACUUCCUUGUUUUCCUUCCUAUACGCUACCAUUCCAGUCGUGAUCAUGUAUCAGACUACAGAUAAUUUUCAGUGUUUUUGUGUCAAGCAAUAUCAUUUUUUUUCUUACAACCAUAAAUUAUGGUUAGUCUAAUAAUUUAUUCUAAUAAACAAAUCUAAUAAUGUUAAUGAAUCACAGAUUUAAUUUCAAAGUCGACUAGGAAUAUUUUUUUAUGCGUCGACAUCGAAUAGAUCA